rnacentral:rRNA from 1 species
AGCGAACGUUUGUGGCGGGCCUAACACAUGCAAGUCGAACGCACUAGCAAUAGUGAGUGGCGCACGGGUGCGUAACACGUGGGUAAUCAACCCUUCAGCCUGGGAUAACGACUCGAAAGGGUCGCUAAUACCGGAUACGGCGCGAGAGGCUUCGGCUUCUCACGAGAAAGCCACGCAAGGGGCACUGAAGGACGAGCCUGCGGCCCAUCAGCUAGUUGGUGAGGUAAGAGCUCACCAAGGCUAAGACGGGUAGCUGGUCUGAGAGGAUGAUCAGCCACACUGGAACUGAGACACGGUCCAGACUCCUACGGGAGGCAGCAGUGGGGAAUAUUGCGCAAUGGGCGAAAGCCUGACGCAGCCACGCCGCGUGAGCGAUGAAGGCCUCGGUCGUAAGACGUCUGUGGGAGGAGACGAAGAAAGACCUGU